rnacentral:lncRNA from 1 species
CCUGUGUAAAAACUGAAGUACCAAACUGACGAGAUAGAAUGGAGGCUACACGCUGGGAUAUCAUCUCAAUCUGAUCAUCUGUCAAUCUGAGCUCUGAAGGAUGUGCCCAGCUGUCCGGCUGUGAUACUGAAGUAUGCCUCCUCACAGACUCUGAAGGGUCAGCCUCGUGAUCAGAAACAAACUGAAUAUCUGGUGAUGCUGCUCUAUGAUCACGAAGGGGUGAGGAUGGUCCUUCCUCCUUUGCUCUAUUCUUAGCUCUCUCUUCCACACCUUUUGUCCAACCAUCAUCAGUUUUAGAAAAUUCCAUGCGGUAUAAUGUGUGGUAGUUGAUAGUGUCGGAGUGAGAUAGUCUAGCAACUGCCUCCCCAUCAAAACUAACUCCGAACC